CCCCACCCCCCACAUGUUGCUGACAGCAAUUGGCUAAGGGGCCGCGGCUCUCCGCGCACCCUCUCCCGCCCGAGACGAUGAAUGGACAUCGGCUUUGUCAGUCAUUUGUACAGCGCGGCAGCCCGGGCCCUCGUCUUUUCUUUCUUUUCAGCCUUUCUCCCUUUCAUCGGCCGAGUUGCACUUCAGACUGGGCAAGUUCAGGGUGGCACCCGGGGGNNNNNNNNNNNNNNNNNNNNNNNNNNNNNNNNNNNNNNNNNNNNNNNNNNNNNNNNNNNNNNNNNNNNNNNNNNNNNNNNNNNNNNNNNNNNNNNNNNNGGGUGGCACCCGGGGGAGAGGGCACUCGGCAAGAAAUGUCAACCUGCGCGGCUCUACCGUGACCUCUGCUCUGGGGGGGUGGGGGGAGGGGAGGGGGCGGGGGUCCAAACUCCUGGCAGGAGAAAAUCUCAGGGCAAAUCCUUCUUCCGAGGUAGUUGGAACACUUUGGCCCUGGGGGCCUUCCACUCCCUUUCCGAAUAGAAGCCGGCUCAGGACCACCUGCCAAUCGGCGCGUAAAUACCGCCCCGCCCCCACCCCCGACUCCCGCCUUCGCCUGGGCGGACGCAGGAACUACCGAGAACUUUUGUCAUCGUUUGGUCCAGGCCGGCCGCGGGGCCGUCUGCCCGAGACUUCGGACCGACACGACGGGGAAACGAAGGCGUCGAGCCGCCCAGGUCGCAGGCUCGGCCUGGCCCGCCGGCCGGCGGGAAGGGCAGAGCGUUCACAGGGCCCAGGGCGCGAGUCAGCCAGGCCGGCGGCGCCCCAGGUCAAACGGAGGGCGGCCAGACCCGCUGCGGCCCGCGAGCGGCCCCUCUCCCACAUUCUCCGCCUCCGCACCGUGGACGCCUGGUCACAGCCACAGGUCGGGGCCGCCGGGUGCGCGGCGCCCCGGCCGAGAGCCGGGAGGGAGAGAAGAAACCCAACAUCUGUGUGUACAAUGCGCUCGCGGGCCCACAGCUGCAGGCACAGGGGGAAGAAAGGCAGGGAGGAGGGGGAGACCCUGUCACAGGCGAUGACAGUCUGCGGAGGGCUCUUUCGUGUCUCCUUUUCUGGAGACCCCGGCGCCCUCCUCCCUGGCCCCCUCUCCCGCCGCUUUCCCAUUGUUCCCGCGCUCAGGACAGCUGGAGACGGCGGCCCGCGCCAGCAGAGCGGCCCCUCCUCACCGACGCCCCUCCUGCCCGCUCCCGGCGGCCCGGCUGAAGCCCCCAAGCUCCUCGGUGGCCAGCCCCGCCCCAGCCCACCCCAGGCCCCUGGAGCGCUGCCCCCAGACUUGCCGCGCGCCGAGGCCCCCUCACGGCCACAGAAACGCCUAAACCCUCCACCCGGGGCUCAGGGCACGAGGGCCUGCGAAGGGCUCGUCUCCGGCUCAAGUGUCCCAAGGGCUCCUUCCUCUGACCUAAGCAGAGAACUACUUGUGUUUGGUGCUUCCCUGAUGGCUUAGCUGGUAAAAAGUCUGCCCGCAGUGCAGGAAACCCGGGUUCGAUCCCUGGGUCGGAAGAGCCCCUGGAGAACCGGAAUAGCAACCCGCUCCAGUAUUCUCGCCUGGAGAGUUUUGUGGACAGGGGAGCCUGGUGGGCUACAGUCCAUGGGGUCGCAAAGCGUCGGACAGGACUGAGCGACUAACACUUGAGGAGCCGAGAGUGGAGCGCUUCAGCGAACCCGGGCUCUCUAGGUCUGGGAGGGCCCGAGCUCGUGGGGGCUGGAGGUCUGCGGGCCGCUUCGCCCGGCUGCCAGAAGCGCCAGCGGAAACUCGGUUCUGGGGCAGGGGGCAAAGGGGAACCAGUGUUCUCUCCAGCUGCUCACCCCAUCCCCAGACAGCCGGCAGGACAGGAGGGGGCCACCCCAAACCUCGCGUCCCCGCGCGGGGGUACAGGGUGCAGACCCCCUCCCGGCCUCCCUCUGCGGGGCCCAGGUACCUCCUGGAAAGAGGAGGGGAAAGGGAGGAGGCGGUAGGGCCUCAGAGAGCUGGGGAGGCCUGCGGGAGGGGACCUGCGGCCCUCAGCCUGGCUGGGAACCGGCCUCUCCAUAGCAACCGCCUGUGCGCGCGCGCCCGCGCGCAUGUCUGUGCGCGCGCUCGUUUGUGUGCGGGGGAGUGGGCUCNNNNNNNNNNNNGGCCCGGGUUGGGGGAUCUCGAGCCCUGGGCGUGGGGGACAGGGAAGUUCUCUCCGGAACAGGGGUGGGGGGCGGCCUUUUCGGAGGUGCUGGGGACUCUGGGAUCUGGGCACGCGGCGGCAGGCACCGGCCGAGCAGGGGGGAUGAGCCCGGGCCCCCGCACUGGGCCGUAGGGGCACCGAGGCGCCUGGCCCCGGCUGUUCGGCCGCCUGCUGCGGUCACGGGGACCUGGGGCUUGGCGGGCUGAGCGCGGGCGGUGGUCUUCACCUAGACCCAGCGCGGUG
rnacentral:lncRNA from 1 species